AUUUGACAGCUGUGCAUUUAGGUGUGAAGAUUCUCAUGUCGAUUUACUCUCAAAGAAAUUCAAGAAAGAUGGUAUGCUUUGCUGUAUGACCCUAUAAUCUCCAAGUUAGCAGUGCAGGCCAUGAACCAGAUCCACCCUGAUGUGAUAGCAGAGGUUCAGUCUAAAGCUCUCUAUAGUAAAGAGGAGGAAUCAUUAUUGGGAACAAUUGCAUCUUCAAGUCAACCAAGUUUGGAAACCUUCCAGGAUCUCUUGGAACAGAAUCCG